rnacentral:rRNA from 1 species
GACGAACCGUGCGAACGUUAUUCGGAAUCACUGGGCUUAAAGCGCGUGUAGGCGGGAGGGCACGUCCGUCGCUGAAAUCCCCCGGCUCAACCGGGGAACGGGCGCGGAUACGACCUUCCUGGAGGGGCGUAGGGGGACCUGGAACUUCCGGUGGAGCGGUGAAAUGCAUAGAUAUCGGGAAGAACACCAACGGCGAAAGCACUCCGCUGGGCUGAUACUGACACUGACAGACGAAAGCUAGGGUAGCGAAAGGG